GACGAACGCUGGCGGCGUGCUUAAUACAUGCAAGUCGAACGGACAGGCUAUACCGUGCCUUGCUGCACCAGAGACUGUGAGUUGCGAACCAUUGAGUCACGCGUAGGUGACCUGCCUGGUAGCGCGGGAUAACUAUUGGUAACGCUAGCUAAUACCGCAUAAUAUUAAUUAUUGCAUGAUAAUUAAUUUAAUGGUGCAAUUGCACCACUACUAGAUGGAUCUUAGUGGUAUUAGCUACUAGGGGAGGUAACGGCUCACCUAGGCGGCGGAACAUAACCGAGCUGGGAGGGGGAGCGGCCACACUGGGGCUGAGACACGGCCCAGAAUCCUUCGGGAGGGGGCAGUAGGGAAUCUUUGGAAAUGGGCGGAAGUCCGACCGCGGAACGCCGCGGGAUGGAAGAAGGUCUUCGGGUCGUAAAAGUAUGUUUUAAGGGAAGAAAGGGGGUUGGGGUGGAACGAUGACACUGUGACGGUACCUGCCGAAUAAGCAACGGCUAACUACGUG
rnacentral:rRNA from 1 species